AUUGAACGCUGGCGGCAGGCCUAACACAUGCAAGUCGAACGGAUGAAGGGAGCUUGCUCCUGGAUUCAGCGGCGGACGGGUGAGUAAUGCCUAGGAAUCUGCCUGGUAGUGGGGGAUAACGUCCGGAAACGGGCGCUAAUACCGCAUACGUCCUGAGGGAGAAAGUGGGGGAUCUUCGGACCUCACGCUAUCAGAUGAGCCUAGGUCGGAUUAGCUAGUUGGUGGGGUAAAGGCCUACCAAGGCGACGAUCCGUAACUGGUCUGAGAGGAUGAUCAGUCACACUGGAACUGAGACACGGUCCAGACUCCUACGGGAGGCAGCAGUGGGGAAUAUUGGACAAUGGGCGAAAGCCUGAUCCGGCCAUGCCGCGUGUGUGAAGAAGGUCUUCGGAUUGUAAAGCACUUUAAGUUGGGAGGAAGGGCAGUAAGUUAAUACCUUGCUGUUUUGACGUUACCAACAGAAUAAGCACCGGCUAACUUCGUG
rnacentral:rRNA from 1 species